UGCCGUGACCAGGAUUCGAACCUGAUUUUGCGGCCACAACGCAAUGUCCUAACCACUAGACGAUCACGGC
rnacentral:tRNA from 1 species